UACAGGGGGUGCAAGCGUUAAUCGGAAUUACUGGGCGUAAAGCGCGCGUAGGCGGCUUUGCAAGUCGGGUGUGAAAUCCCCAGGCUUAACCUGGGAACUGCAUUCGAGACUGCAUUGCUAGAGUAUGGGAGAGGGAAGUGGAAUUUCCGGUGUAGCGGUGAAAUGCGUAGAUAUCGGAAGGAACAUCAGUGGCGAAAGCGACUUCCUGGACCAAUACUGACGCUCAUGUGCGAAAGCGUGGGGAGCAAACAGG
rnacentral:rRNA from 1 species